rnacentral:rRNA from 1 species
GAUGAACGCUGGCGGUAUGCUUAACACAUGCAAGUCGAACGGACUCUUCGGAGUUAGUGGCGGACGGGUGAGUAACGCGUGAGAAUCUGGCUUUGGGUUCGGGACAACCACUGGAAACGGUGGCUAAUACCGGAUGUGCCGAGAGGUAAAAGAGAAAUUGCCUGAAGAUGAGCUCGCGUCUGAUUAGCUAGUUGGUGAGGUAAAGGCUCACCAAGGCAGCGAUCAGUAGCUGGUCUGAGAGGAUGACCAGCCACACUGGGACUGAGACACGGCCCAGACUCCUACGGGAGGCAGCAGUGGGGAAUUUUCCGCAAUGGGCGAAAGCCUGACGGAGCAAUACCGCGUGAGGGAAGAAGGCUCUUGGGUUGUAAACCUCUUUUCUUAGGGAAGAACAAAAUGACGGUACCUAAGGAAUCAGCAUCGGCCAACUCCGUG